rnacentral:rRNA from 1 species
AACGAACGCUGGCGGCAUGCCUAACACAUGCAAGUCGAACGAGACCAUCGGGUCUAGUGGCGCAUGGGUGCGUAGCGCGUGGGAACCUGCCCUUAGGUUCGGAAUAACUCCCCGAAAGGGGUGCUAAUACCGGAAAAUUUCCUCGGACCCAAGAUUCGUCGCGUUUGGAUGGGCCCGCGUUGUUUUAGCCUGUUGGUAGGGUAAAAGCCUAUCAAGGCGAGGAUCCAUAGCGGGUCAGAGAGGAUGGUCAGCCACUCUGGGACUGAGACACGGUCCGGACUCCUGCGGGAGGCAGCAGAGGCGGAUAUAGGAAUAUGGGCGGAAUGAUGAACCAGCUCUGCUGCGUAAGUGAUUAAGGCCGGAGGGAUGUAAAGCUCUUUUACCCGGGAUGAUAAUGACGGUACCGGGAGAAUAAGCACCGGCUAACUCCGUG